GAGACAGUGAAAAUAAAGGGAGGAAAAAUGGGAAAAUGCAAGCAUCUUAUCCCCAUGUUUGGGCAGAUUAAUGGAGUUUGCUACUCCUUCUCUUGAGUUCUGCACUCUGGGAGGGACAGUAUCUGUUUAGAUUUGUGUCUAAAUUUAAACCCUGAUUGCCUUGCCUCCUCUCCUCCGCUCCCCACCCUCUUUUCCUCCCUUCCUCCCUCCCUCCUUCCUUGUUCUCUGGUGCACAGCCACUCUGGUCUCUGUCAGUUCUCAAGCUGAGCCGGGGCUCUGCCACAGCCCUCGUGCAGUGAGUGCCUGGCGCUAGAACCACACUUUGCCUAGCGAGGGCUAAGAAAAGAGAAAAUCCAGCAAGCACCCCGAGGACCAGGGAACAACCUCCGUACAAGGGAUUCCGAAGCAGACACACAUUUCACCUUGAAGACAUGGAGGAAAGGCCGGCAGACACUAAUGCCGGUGUCGACAACUCAGCAUCCCCAUCUGUGGCGCAGCUCGCAGGCCGAUUUAGAGAGCAGGCAGCAGCCGUCUCAGCUAAAGAGCCACCAGCCAAUAAACCAACAAGAAGAAAACCACCUUGCUCUCUUUCUCUGUUCCCCCCCAAGAUAGAGAUGGGCCAGAAUGGU